CACACACACUCACCACUCAUAAGUCUCACAAAUCUCUGCAAAAUCUCGCACACGCUCAUCUCUCUCUUUCACCACUCAUCUCUCUCUCUCUCAAUCUCCCUCAAUCUCUCUCUCGGCGCAUCUCUCUCUUUCACCACACAUCUCUCUCAAUCUCUCUCUCUCGGGUCAUCUCUCUCGCUUGGAGAGCAAAAAGAUAACGAUUUUCUCAAGAAAAGAGCUAUUCUUUUUAUGGGCACUUGUCAGGGACCAGGCGGCUAAUUGUUUGACAUCUCUUAUUGUAGGAUGAUGUUAAAAACCUUCUUGGAUCAGUACUUGGCAAGUUUGACGAAAAAGAUCUGAGAUCAGCUUGCAUAUAAGAUGGAAGAAAAAAAGAAUCCAGAACUCAAGUUUGAUAUUGAAGACCUAAGUGUCGAACCAACUUAUGAUGCAUGCAUGCCUAUUCAAGUAGAGCCAACACUACUAACACGGAGACUACUUUAUUUGUGAUGCACUUAGAUAAUCUAACCAUAUUUUGCAAAGUUUAACUUGUAAUGUAAUUACUUCUUAAGAAUUUUAUGACUUUGAACUACUAUUUCACUUGGAUGGUUAAAUUAUGGUUGUUGCAAAAUUUGGAUGUUUGGUGUAUGGUUGAAUCAGAAUUUGUGAUUGGUU